ACAACGACUUUUUCCAAAGACGCGUCGUUACAAUAACGUUACAAACUUCAGCCUGAUAAAUCGUUAGCGUUUGAAUACAAGUUUUCUUUUUAAAAUUAAAAUGUUACCGAAUGUAACGCGGAAGAAACAAGAAUUAGAAACGCAAUAAGACGAUCGUCGACUUCCUCAACCGACUGUACGCACCUUCAAACAGAAUUGAAAGUGAAACGGUCGGUCAACGGUAUUUUACAACGGUCGCGCGCACGUAACCGCCGCUUAGAGCGCGUCGGUGUCGAGUCUUUCGCAUGGUGUGAAAAUGGGAAGAAAACCGACAGGAAGGAAUAUGGCCGAAGUGGCGGAAUGCGAUUGGGAGAAUUUCACCGAGCUUCGGAAAUUUCCGUAGCCGUUUAGUCCAUGGCGAAUUAUAUAAACGGUCGCCGGAGGGACCGGACCAAAGAAUAAACAACCGCAAUACCAAGGACAGAGAUCGGAGGGCCCGGUGUAACCGUCGCGACGCGACUUUCAAGGCGCCAGGACCCGAAGAGAGCAGCCAGAGAGAACAAAGAGAGCUUGAGCGCAGAUUUCUCGUCAUAGUUAUAGGAAUUAUGUUGAAAGUUGGGGACGCGUUCGCGGGACGUAACAUAAACGGAAGAUUGAUCAUCAUUCGUUUGACUGUUGGUCCUUCGUUUUUACCCCUGGACUUUUAAGUGGUUCGAGUAUACGAGAACCAUACCUACGGAUGUCGAAAUGCGCAGACUCUAAGUGGAUGUAACAAACGAUCGUGGUCCCUAUCUUUUCCUUUUCCUCUUCCUCUUCCUCUUCCUCUUCCUCUUCCGCCUAGUCUUCUCUCUGUAAAAUUCUAUUAUUUACCCAUUCUAAAUGCACCGCAGAAUCUUAUUCGAUUCGAAUUCCUUGUACGACAAGGCAUCGCCUCUAGAUCGCGUCUGCCUUCGACGUUCCAACUGUGAAAGGACAGCACCCUUUCUAGUUCCUCUCCUUUCCUACCACGAGAAUUGGCGAGGUAAACGAAUUCCGGUAUCGAUCUCGCCGAGGCUGUACGGUUAAGAGGGUUACGCAACAUACGUGGUGGUGCUGGGAUUAAGGCGGCACCUUAUACAUAUACGCCCGCUUGAACGAGCCUGCAAACGUGAACGAUACAGCCUAGGAACCCUUACUGCCAGGUUGGAAAGCAUUAUUUCUCCGGGGUGAGUUUACAAACACAGACUCUGCGUUUCUGGUAAAAGGACUCGUUGUUCGGUAACCCGCCAGUCUAAACCCAACGUGCCGGAGCAACGGAAGCCGGAAGUUGGUUUCCUUGGAGAAUUGCUGUUUACGUUGACCCAGAAGGUAUACACAAAUAUGAGUCUUUUACUCUCGGAUAACACAACGGCCCUCAUUCAUGUUCCCCAAUACAGGACUCCGGCAGGACUAACUUUUUCCUUGGGUCUUGAAUUCAGCGGCCCCGUAAGAGCGCGCAGUCUGUCUUUACAAGUUUAUGGUGGCAACGAAUGCUUCCUAAUGGUAUUUAUCGGACGCAUACGUCAGACUUCCACACAUAUAGCAAAUUCCCGUUUUUAUGGGCUACAUGAGGUGUAAUGAUAACAUCAGCGAGAAAGUCAGAGAUGAAUCAGUGUAGUUCUCGACCUUGAACAUUAGGUCAUUUGUGGGAUUUAUUCUAGAAAUCAAAUAUUGAACACAACAACAUAAAUUUGUAGAUGUACAAUAUGCACAUAUUUAUUCAUACUUCGUCAAGUUACAUUAUGUAUUAUUAAACUAAGACAUUUUUUUAAAGACUAUGAAUAAAUGGUGAAAUGU